UCAGUACCUUGACAAUUACUUAAACUUUGAUAUUAUCAUCUAUCUUGCUCAAAAAAAUAUGAGGGUGUGUACUUUUGUAGUAAAAAACAAACCGAUUAUGACAUGUCGAAUUAUUGGUUAAUAUAUCCUUUUAUGAAAAGAGGAAAUUGAUUUUUGAUUAUACUAAAAAAAGUGUUCAUGUUCUACUACUAUAUAGGUAGUUGACAAAUUGCAAUCUUCUGGUAAAUCUUCAAGGGAUGGUUGGAAAACCGAGCUCCCGACUACAGGAUUAGGAACUUGGGUUCUAGAAUAAAUGAAAGACUUCAAACAAAAAGAUCCAGCUUGGCAAGGCAAAUGUUCUGAUAUAUCGGAGGAAAUGAAUCUGAAGGUCACUUUUCAUUAAUAAAUUAGGCAUGUUCAAUGUUUGCACAUACCAACCCGUUACAUUUAGAUGUAUUCAAGAGUGUUGUGAGAUUUGAGGCAGAAGUGGUUGCAAUGACUGGUACUCUUUUUGGAAGUAAAGAAAAGGC